AAAAAAUAAUGUUUCAUAUGUUGUUUGUUUACUCCGAAAUUUUUCUAGGGUUCGAAAUCAAAUUUGUCAGAAAUGAUUUGGUUAGUGGUGGCGGGUGCUUAAAUCUGCUAGGAUUCUGGUCCCAUGUUUGAUUUCCCAUCAAAAAGAACUUCCGCCUUGGCUAUUGGUCCGACAGGGCAUGUGCCAAAAGCUGCAGAGUUGGGUAAAACGUAAAAGUAACAAAAGUACUCGGUAAGGCUACUAAUUCAAGCAGUCAGAAAUGCCAUUUCCUCUCCUGUACCACCAUCCACAUCCCUAUUCUCAUUUGGAGUGGCUACUAAUUCAAGCUCAGACGGCUUAUCCGCUUCGAUUACUGUAGCUUCAGAUGCUUCCGAAGGUCUAGAUACAAGUUUAGAUACCACUAGCACAACCACUAUUGUUGCUUCCAAUGGCAUCACCAACCCAUCUAUCUACCUUACCAGCAACCCUUGCAGCAACUUUCCAGUUUGGUUCAAGCUCUACCACAGCAGUUGUUUCAUCUACCUCAAGUACAGUACAAUUGCCAUCGUCUGGCUCAGAGGAUAAGCACUUAGAGGGUAAAAAAAAGCAGUCAUCACCUUUUGGUAAUCUAACCUCUACCGGGGACACGCCAUCUACUACUACAAGUACUAGAAACGGCAUAUUAGGUUCAAUGCUCCUGGUGCAGUGAAUUCCUUCGUGAAUAACAAAUCUCAGACUCCCAAGUCCUUUUGCCUCUGCAACUGGAUCAUCUGUGUUCAGCGCAAAGGCAGCCACUGCUGAAUCUGGAAGUGGGACUGCACCAUCUACUAAUAGCACGCUGAGUCCACUUGGGUCUUCUGCUCCUCUCUAACCUUCGGCUUUACCUGCUCAGCUGCUCUGAGCUCUAUUAGUUCUCCAUUUGGUAAUUCAGCCCCUGCUGCUAAUCCAUUUGGUUUAAGUACUGGGUUUGGUCAAAGUUCUUCAACGUCCUUCUCUAUGACUGCUGGUUGUAUCAGUUCUGAGACUGCUGCAAAUAGUUUAUUCAGUUCGAGUCUCAGUCUACUCCAUGUCCUGUCUUCGGUUCUGGAUUUGCCUCCGGAACCUCAACUGGAUGGUUUUCAUUCGGGGGUUUAAAACCCGAUGCUGGUUCUACACCUUCUGCAUCAACAGGGUUUUCAUUUGGAUCAUUUUGCAACUCCUGUUGGAAGCUCCGCACCCUUGCCAGGGUCGUCUCCUUUCUCAUUCACUCUGCCGCUGCUGGCACAGUCUCUUCUCUCCGGCCGUGUCUGGUUUUGGAACCUCAAUCCCUGUUAUGUUUGGUACAUCCCCGAAUGAUGAUCAGAUGAAUAUGGAGGAUAGCAUGGCUGAGGAUGACCUUCGUAAAAACGUGUGACCAAAAAAGUAGCUUCAAAUUCUUUCAUGUUUGGGAAAAUAUGUGAUAGAAAAAGCAUUAAUCAAGGAGCUCACAUCUCAUCAACUAUGGAUCAGAGGUUCAGAUUAGGUGAUACCUGUUGGUCGUAUGUGACCACUGAAAACUACUUUCCAGAUGGGGACAUUGACUUGACCGACAUUUAGUGAUAAUCCAAACAUGAAGGUUACAUGGGCUAAUGAAGUACGUAUUAUGUCGGAGAAUGAAGAGAAGAGUAAUACUGCUGAAUUUCGGUUAAAGGAGGUUCAGUACAUUCAAGCAAAGGUUGGCCAUUUGAUGGACCAAAACCAUCUUUUUAAGUGCAGCAUUAUACUGAUUAAAGCUCGGUGCUAUUGUCAGAGUCGUAUUUUGGGUGCUCAUCAUGUCCUGGUUUCUACCCAUGCUCUCAAGACGUUGGUACUGUACAUAUUUAAUCUUUUGCUGGGUCUCUUGAGGUGGCUAGAAGUCCAGAUUUCCUACCUUUGUGAUCUUUGUGACUUCAAAUUUGUCGAAAUUUACACCCAAAGACUGUACAUUUGCAGGUUCUUUAAUCAUUUCCAGGAAUUUUUCAGUAAUUGUGACAGGUACUCGUGGACGUAUAGUCGAAACCUUAUUGAGUCGUCAUUUACUGAAAAUAGUUCGCAUUUAACUGUUUUAUAUAGUACCUUACAGCAGAAUCUCCUUGAAAGGAUACCGGAGAGUUAUUACUCAAGAAGCCCUUCCUCAAUGUUAGCAGUUCAGUAUAUGCUGUUGUUCGAAUGCCCAAGAAAAUCCAGGCCAACCUUUUCGUUUUAAACAUUUUAACGUUGUAGAUCCACUAUACCAACAACAACCUUGAAUGCAGUGUUGGUAAAGGUCAACAUUCUAAAUAAAUUUCAUCAUUUCGCACACCUUUGAGUAUUCUCCUUCGUUAUUUAGUUCCUCUGAUGCCCUCUUUUCUAUAUGCAUUUGCCACUUAGUCAUCAUGACUUUAAACACAAUAUUUUAAUGUUACCACAGAGUGAAUGCCGCUUGAUAAACUUACCAUAGAAAAGCUUAUAACUAGUUGCGUUUUCUGUGGUUGUAUUAAUUCAGGACGAACAAAACGAUUACAUUAGGAUGCGGAAGAACAACUAUUACAUUAGGAUGUGGAAGAACUAGUUGUGUUUUCUGUGGUUGUGUUAAUUCAGGACGACCAAAACGAUUACAUUAGGAUGCGGAAGAACAACGAGAAAAGUUAGCCAAACGUAGAUUUGCCACUGAGCUUGCAUCAACAAAGAGUUGAGAAACUCUGAUUCACUGUGGAUAGUAGAAGGGUUCCUGGAGCAAUCUAAAGUGGGAACUCAUUUUUAAAUAAGUGUCUAUAGGUGGCAAGUACAUCUUUGAAAGUUCUCAUGAGCCUGAAAAUACUCAAGGUUAGAAAGCACAUGUUGGGGAUCGAUAGUAUAGGUGGCUCUCCUUAGCUUUAGCUUGAAUGUUGUGAUGUGGAUUUCAUAGGGGAACAUGAUGUUACUGAUAUUGUUUUAUGAAUCUUGUAUAUGGUAUCCCUGUAUAAAGCUUCUCAUCAUUUAAAAAAUUAGUUUCAGUUUAAAGCUUCUCUGUAGCUCUUUGGCCCGACUCAAAAUGAAAUCUCCUAGACUCCUCAGGUUCUUGAUUUGUUUCAGCCAA